CCAAACCAGUUGUUUUUAUUCAUAAUCCGGUUAUGAAUAAAGAACAUUGUAAGAUUUAGCUUGCUGGACAUUCAUGGAGUGAUCAUGCUCCCGGGUACUGUUCUUAUCUCAGGUUGUCUUGUGACUUUCUAGCAGCUAGUUGCCCUACUAGUGCAAAUUAUGUUGUAUCGUGUGCUCCAACUCUAGAUUAAGUUAUUGGUUGAAAACGCGUGUACACCUGAAGAGAAGAGCUGCACUGAAAAGACGCCACAGGGGCCUUCAUACUGUCUGGAGCAGUUGGCUGACCUGUCUCAUGAGGAUGAACAAGAGCAGAGGAUGCAUGGCCAGCAUAACAAAUAUGGAAAAAAGAUUGGUAGACUCAUGAUGAAUGUUUGAUCUCUGAAGAAUGAGCCUGAGUAUCUGAGUGCAUGCCAGUAUGUCAUCGACGAGCAGGAGGAGGAUCUGCUGGAUUCCACCAAAGACCUGUUCCUUGGAAAAUGAGAGAAUAUCUUCCUCCAACACUCCCAAAGAAAGAUGUGGGAGACUGGCCACAACAGGGCUGAGUCGAGGACUCUACAUGGGGAAAGAGACAUGCCACUGAGGAAGCUGGUAGAAGCAGAGAUUGAUGGGGUGGCAGUGGCCACACAGUUGACAGCCCUGAAUGAGGCUAUGGGUGGCGUGAAAAAGGUGAGCUGCACUCUGAGAAUUCUUCAGGGAGUGCCAUGAACAAGAGGUACUCUCCCCAAUACAUGGACUUGCUUAGAUUGACAAGGUAUCAGUGUCUUUGCAGGAAAAUGGAAAAUGACAAUAAGAAUUGUGGUCUUAUAUUUUGAUUGGAAGAACAACAAUGAUUUAAUAUUGCAGAUAGAUUGUAGGUUCUAUCAUUUUAAUUGUUUGCAUAAUUUCCAAUCCCUUAUUUGAAAUGUUUUCCCUUUAUACUCUUCUCUACCAUCCCUACCCUAAUUGUAGUAAACUAACUGACAACAAUACUUUUACUGCUACUUACAGCUAUUUCGGUCACAUCUACAGUACAUGUAGUUAAAUCAUUAAAUAUUCAGAAUCUCCUCUCUUCAAGUGCUGGAUUUUCACCCACAACAGCCAAUCCACCAUUCAUUCAGAUCUUAACUCCAACCCACCGAUGUCCACAGAUUAACCCAUCUUUCCCAGUAUAAUGCCAUUUUGCUAUUUCCUUUUGCAAUACAUCCCUCCAUUUUACUAUGAUGUCUUACUGGGGUUCCUGAAACUCCCUAUUUGUAAAAAUGUAUACCGAUAUUGCCUUAAAAAUAAAUGUUUUACCCAAGAGUAUAAUGAUAUUUUCCAUAACAAUGCAGUUUGCAGGUCAAUCUGAACUCUGAUAUUAUGACAUAACAACCAUUCCUGGACCUGACUCCAUAAGCGAGCCACCGAUGGACAGUACCAGAAAAUAUGUUCUAUUGAUUCUGUUUCCUCGUGCACAAGGCUGACUGUUCAAUGCCCCAUAUAUUGAGCAUUCUUAAAACAUUUUUUUUCUAUUAAUUGAUAGACAGAAUCAUUGAGGACAUCAAAGCAGAGGCAAGGCCUACUGGAGAGACUGGCGGACAAAGA